AACGAACGCUGGCGGCAUGCCUAACACAUGCAAGUCGAACGAACCCUUCGGGGUUAGUGGCGCACGGGUGCGUAACGCGUGGGGAUCUACCCUUUGCUUCGGAAUAACAGUUAGAAAUGACUGCUAAUACCGGAUGAUGUCGAAAGACCAAAGAUUUAUCGGCAAAGGAUGAACCCGCGUAGGAUUAGCUAGUUGGUGGGGUAAAGGCCUACCAAGGCGACGAUCCUUAGCUGGUCUGAGGGGAUGAUCAGCCACACUGGGACUGAGACACGGCCCAGACUCCUACGGGAGGCAGCAGUGGGGAAUAUUGGACAAUGGGCGAAAGCCUGAUCCAGCAAUGCCGCGUGAGUGAUGAAAGCCUUAGGGUUGUAAAGCUCUUUUACCAGGGAUGAUAAUGACAGUACCUGGAGAAUAAGCUCCGGCUAACUCCGUGCCAGCCGCCGCGGUAAGAC
rnacentral:rRNA from 1 species